rnacentral:rRNA from 1 species
UACGUAGGGUGCAAGCGUUGUCCGGAUUCAUUGGGCGUAAAGAGCUCGUAGGCGGCUUAGUAAGUCAGGUGUGAAACCUCCAGGCUCAACCUGGAGACGCCACUUGAUACUGCUAUGGCUUGAGUUUGGUAGGGGUAAGCGGAAUUCCUGGUGUAGCGGUGAAAUGCGCAGAUAUCAGGAGGAACACCGGUGGCGAAGGCGGCAUCCUGGACCAACACUGACACUGAUGAGCGAAAGCCAGGGGAGCAAACGGG